GGGGGCGUAAAGGCUUCGACGUGUUUGGUGAACGCGAGGUAGCGUGCCGAGGCCCGGGCCUCGCAAAAACCCGGAAUCAACACAAUUGCCAACAAUCACAUGGCAAUGGCUGCCUGAGCUUUCUCACAGCCCGUCUCCUGGCCCGCCCGCCCAAGGCAGGCCCUGCAGGCGUCGACAAGUUGGGCUGGCCCGGGGCGAUGCUGUCGCGCCGCGGGCGAGACUCUCGACGGCUAGUCGGGGAUUCGGCGGGUCGCUGACCGAUCACCCGAUGAAGCGCAACAGCGAACUACGCACGUAGAAGCUUCGCCGGACCCACUCGCGGACGCGGGUUCGACUCCCGCCGCCUCCAUCC
rnacentral:tmRNA from 1 species